CUCCUUUAUUAAAGCCGCCUCAAGGGACAGUGAGUCCCCUGCACAGUGAUGUCACUUGAGACUCUUAGUACAGGUUCAGUUUCUUGGAGAUAGGGUCACAUUACAGUGGCUGAUUGAAGAGACGAGACCAAAUCUAGUGUACGAAAAAGGAGCCGCUUUGAUAACUAACCUGCCUCUGUACAAUGUUUCUGGUGCUGGCUUGCUCUUUCCAUGGAAUAAUAAAGCUUCUUGGACACAAGCAAAUGUAUUAGCAAGGGUGUCAGAAAAGGUCUGCAAAUUCACCUGGACUGCCUAUUUGUUAUAAAGUCUGCAUCAAGAUGAAUUCAAACGACUAGAAGUUCUUUUUACAGUGGAUUCCCUGGAAAUAAAGCUCCAUAUCAGAUGUAACACAGCUGCUGAAAUUCCUGAUGUUGAGCUAAUCUCCAUUGUCCACUGAGUAAAAUUCGUUUAAUAGACCUGCAACAACUUAAUGGAAAUAAAGUAAUCUCAGUCGGUGAUCCUACUGAAGACUUAUGGGCACUUGAAAUUAAGCAGAAAGCUAAUAACAGUUUGCAUUCUGUGUUAUUUAAUGUUUCUGAGACUGCAUUUGAAUAUUACUGUAUGUCAUUUGCUGUACACUAUCAAUAAUUCAACAGUACAUUUUACAUAAGGAUCUGUUAAUCAAUUGCAUUUACUUUGCUAAGGUACACUGAUCACAUUUCUUUGUAUUUCCUGUCAUUUAACAGCUAAUAAUUUAAAAGUCACAACUGAGUCACUCUCUUAAAAAGUUGCAGUCAUUUA